ACUAAACUUUUAUCAGUGAAUUUUAAGUGUACUCUUCAGAAUUUUAUAUUAUAAUAACACACCGCUCGUAGAACAUUCAUUAUGCACGGAUGUACAUUUGAAAAUAUCUAAAGACAUUAAAUACCCUAACUAUAAUUGGUAUUGCUAGCGUUGUAUACCUAUUUCAUGUUGAAUUAUGCUUGUUUUUCAUUACUUUGUGUGCAAUAUUAUACUUUUGCUAUACUUACUUAUGGAGGGAAAUAAUGUUCUCUGCACGACGCUCCUGGGAAAUACACCUGCAGACGUGGAUGGUGAACCUAGGCUGAUGGUGUAACACGUUUUCGUACCGAGCUGGGCAUAAAAAUGAGUUCACGUUGUGGUGUUCUAAAAAUUAGGUCCUCCUCAGAUUGGGAUGGUCUUGGAGGUGAUGGUGCAUCAAUUCCCUGUUCUGUGGCAAACGAUGGACCUGUAUAGUUCAAGUAAUAAAUAUUUUACAUGUCACUUCAAAGGAUAUUUUUACCAAUCGGCAAAUUUUGCGAAGGCACAGCAGUUUUCCUUAAUAAACGCGAAUUCAGGAUUUUAUCCUCUUCCUUAAAAUGGUUGUGGCAAACGAAACACUUUUUAUAAAUACCAUUAUCUCCUAGUUGCUCGAAUCGAGGAUUAUUUGCUGCCAGAACCCACUUACGAAAACGUUCCCCGUUUGUUUUUGGAUUGGGGAAACGGUACAUCGGUAGCUCUCGCUUUCCGCAGCCUUUUACAGAACAAGUAUUUUUGGCUAAUGUGCUCGUCAUCGUGC